UAAAUAUGUAUAUGUAUAUUUAAAAAUUAACUUAGGCGUACGAAUGUAAAAGAAAAAAACUAAAAUUUACGCAAAACUUUGUUAUGCAAGUAGCAACUUAACAAUCGACGACGGUGCUGGUGACGUUGGCUGCGACGUUUACUGGCUGAUUGGAAUCGACAUAGCAAAUGUUAGUUAGGUGCAUUUCACGAGCCACAACUGUCUCUGUAUACCUCUACCUGAUUUCAUUUGGCGAAUCAAAGCAAUUUUGCACUACCGCAACAUUAUUCUUGAGUAUCGCAACGCAUGCGAAGUCGCUAUAUAAAUUUAGGCAACAGCAACAAGAACAUCAACAUGGAAACGCAUUGAAUGCAAGUAGAAUAAUUUGAAAUAUACAUACAUAUACAUAAACACACUUAUAUACAUAUAUAUUAUAUUAAAGAGAAAAAAUAGAGAUAUACAUAAAUUGAAUCUAACAAAACAAAAUGAUGCGAUAAUAAUUUUUAGAUAACCCAUUUAGUACAUCAGUAAAAACGCCAACGCAUACAUACGUAAAAAAUUCACACACGUACAUAUUACUUUUGCGUCAAAAGGAUUUUAACUACUUCCAUAUCACACAUAAUCUGAAAGGGUUCUUUGUUCCACUAACACCAACACAUCCAUAAGAGAAUGCUGCACAGUGAUUAUGCGUAUGAUUGAUUGAGAGUGGUGAGGAGGAGUUCGUACUUCUAUUUGAUAUUGUGAGCUAAAACCGUUUUUUUUAAGUUCCGGGGCGGUUGUGUAUAUAAUUGUAAGCAAAGCUAUUUGUAUGCACCGAGUAUUCCGUUGAUUAUUGUUAAUUUUUUUAUUAAUACAUAUGUAUAAUCAAAAUUAAUUUGUUUUAAUCAA